UAAANCGAGCGCAGGCGGUUAGAUAAGUCUGAAGUUAAAGGCUGUGGNUUAACCAUAGUACGCUUUGGAAACUGUUUAACUUGAGUGCAGAAGGGGAGAGUGGANUUCCAUGUGUAGCGGUGAAAUGCGUAGAUAUAUGGAGGAACACCGGUGGCGAAAGCGGCUCUCUGGUCUGUAACUGACGCUGAGGCUCGAAAGCGUGGGGAGCAANCAGGAUUAGAUACCCUGGUAGUNCACGCCGUAAACGAUGAGUGCUAGGUGUUGGGUCCUUUCCGGGACUCAGUGCCGCAGCUAACGCAUUAAGCACUCCGCCUGGGGAGUACGACCGCAAGGUUGAAACUCAAAGGAAUUGACGGGGGCCCGCACAAGCGGUGGAGCAUGUGGUUUAAUUCGAAGCAACGCGAAGAACCUUACCAGGUCUUGACAUCCCGGUGCCCGUCCUAGAGAUAGGAUUUUGCUUCGGCACACCGGUGACAGGUGGUGCAUGGUUGUCGUCAGCUCGUGUCGUGAGAUGUUGGGUUAAGUCCCGCAACGAGCGCAACCCUUAUUGUUAGUUGCCAUCAUUUAGUUGGGCACUCUAGCGAGACUGCCGGUAAUAAACCGGAGGAAGGUGGGGAUGACGUCAAAUCAUCAUGCCCCUUAUGACCUGGGCUACACACGUGCUACAAUGGCUGGUACAACGAGUCGCAAGUCGGUGACGGCAAGCUAAUCUCUUAAAGCCAGUCUCAGUUCGGAUUGUAGGCUGCAACUCGCCUACAUGAAGUCGGAAUCGCUAGUAAUCGCGGAUCAGCACGCCGCGGUGAAUACGUUCCCGGGCCUUGUACACACCGCCCGUCACACCACGAGAGUUUGUAACACCCGAAGUCGGUGAGGUAA
rnacentral:rRNA from 1 species